GUGAGUAACACGUGGGUAACCUGCCUGUAAGACUGGGAUAACUCCGGGAAACCGGAGCUAAUACCGGAUAGUUCCUUGAACCGCAUGGUUCAAGGAUGAAAGACGGUUUCGGCUGUCACUUACAGAUGGACCCGCGGCGCAUUAGCUAGUUGGUGGGGUAAUGGCUCACCAAGGCGACGAUGCGUAGCCGACCUGAGAGGGUGAUCGGCCACACUGGGACUGAGACACGGCCCAGACUCCUACGGGAGGCAGCAGUAGGGAAUCUUCCGCAAUGGACGAAAGUCUGACGGAGCAACGCCGCGUGAGUGAUGAAGGUUUUCGGAUCGUAAAGCUCUGUUGUUAGGGAAGAACAAGUGCGAGAGUAACUGCUCGCACCUUGACGGUACCUAACCAGAAAGCCACGGCUAACUACGUGCCAGCAGCCGCGGUAAUACGUAGGUGGCAAGCGUUGUCCGGAAUUAUUGGGCGUAAAGGGCUCGCAGGCGGUUUCUUAAGUCUGAUGUGAAAGCCCCC
rnacentral:rRNA from 1 species